UCGUGUCAGGAUGAACGCUGGCGGCGUGCUUAACACAUGCAAGUCGAACGAAGCAGUUAUACGAUCCCUCGGGGUGACGAUUACUGACUGAGUGGCGGACGGGUGAGUAACGCGUGGGUAACCUGCCUUGUACAGGGGGAUAACAGUUGGAAACGACUGCUAAUACCGCAUAAGCGCACAGCUUCGCAUGAAGCAGUGUGAAAAGUAUUUUCGGUACAAGAUGGACCCGCGUCUGAUUAGCUAGUUGGUGAGGUAAUGGCCCACCAAGGCGACGAUCAGUAGCCGACCUGAGAGGGUGACCGGCCACAUUGGGACUGAGACACGGCCCAAACUCCUACGGGAGGCAGCAGUGGGGAAUAUUGCACAAUGGGCGAAAGCCUGAUGCAGCCGACGCCGCGUGAGCGAAGAAGUAUUUCGGUAUGUAAAGCUCUAUCAGCAGGGAAGAUAAUGACGGUACCUGACUAAGAAGCACCGGCUAAAUACGUGCCAGCCGCCGC
rnacentral:rRNA from 1 species